GCUCAUUAAGAUGGGUAUCCCUACAUAGCGGGUGGGACCCACGGCGAAUGGUUCAUCAAGUCUUCAAAAAAGAAUAUAUACGAUUGCAUUGCAAAUACUAACGGAUGCGAUCAUACCAGCACUAAUGCACCAGAUCCCAUCAGAACUCCGCAGUUAAGCGUGCUUGGGCGAGAGUAGUACAAGGAUGGGUGACCUCCCGUGAAGUCCUCGUGUUGCAUCCCUC
rnacentral:rRNA from 1 species